AGCGGCCACCCGCACCACAUGCGGAAGAACGACUGCUGGAACGGGGAGUCCU
rfam:Norwalk-like virus genes for RNA polymerase, VP1 protein, VP2 protein, complete cds, strain:Hu/Norovirus/hiroshima/1999/JP(9912- 02F).